UGGAGACAUUGGGGUGGCGGAGCGCCGGCGCCGGAGCCGGGGGGCUGUUGUGUGGGAGCCCAAGGUAAGCACCAGCCACAAAAACCUACAAAAGAAGGGAAAUUACUGUCUUUAAAUAUUAAAAAAAAACAAGAUCCAUGAGUGGGCAUCGAUCAACAAGGAAAAGAUGUGGAGAUUCUCACCCGGAGUCCCCAGUGGGCUUCGGGCAUAUGAGUACUACAGGAUGUGUAUUAAAUAAAUUGUUUCAGUUACCAACACCACCAUUGUCAAGACACCAACUAAAGCGGCUAGAAGAACACAGAUAUCAAAGUGCUGGACGGUCCCUGCUUGAGCCCUUAAUGCAAGGGUAUUGGGAAUGGCUCGUUAGAAGAGUUCCCUCCUGGAUUGCCCCAAAUCUCAUCACCAUCAUUGGACUGUCAAUAAACAUCUGUACAACUAUUUUAUUAGUCUUCUACUGCCCUACAGCUACAGAGCAGGCACCUCUGUGGGCAUAUAUUGCUUGUGCCUGUGGCCUUUUCAUUUACCAGUCUUUGGAUGCUAUUGAUGGGAAACAGGCAAGAAGAACCAAUAGUAGUUCUCCUCUGGGAGAACUUUUUGAUCAUGGUUGUGAUUCACUAUCAACAGUUUUUGUGGUUCUUGGAACUUGUAUUGCAGUGCAGCUGGGGACAAACCCUGAUUGGAUGUUUUUUUGUUGUUUUGCGGGGACAUUUAUGUUCUAUUGUGCACACUGGCAAACGUAUGUUUCUGGAACAUUGCGAUUUGGAAUAAUUGAUGUGACUGAAGUGCAAAUCUUCAUAAUAAUCAUGCAUUUGCUGGCAGUGAUUGGAGGACCACCUUUUUGGCAAUCUAUG
rnacentral:sRNA from 1 species